GCGGGGGGCGGGAGAAGCGGUGAGCGGGGGCCUUCGCGGCUGCUCGGGCUGCCCGGCGCGAACGCCUGCCCGGAAGAGGCCGCCCGCUAGCCUCUUCGCCGUCCCCCCGGCCCCUGCGCUGUGGGGCGCCUCCUGGACGGAGGUUUACCUACCACUGUAAAGAGAACGUUCAAUGAAAUACAAAGAAAAAGAUGAUUUUUUUGCUCCAAGAGAAUUAUUCCAGCCUUGGGGUGGAGUGGGCGUGGACAGUGAGCAGAAAAACAAAAAACCAAGUUCUGGGAGGAAAUAAAAUGAAUAUAAUCAGUGGAAAAUUCAGCAACGCAAUAUUGUGUGACAACAGUAAAUGACCAAUUUAUAAUUUAAAUUCUAUGAAAAAGAGAUUUAGAAGAGAGUUCUACCAAACCCACUGUUCCCUAGGGAAUAAAAUGAGAACCGCUGGCUGGCAACAGUGCAUCCUGAGGGAGCCUGGAGAAACAACAGCAGCCUCCGACCUCAAGAUAUCCUGGUAGUGCUGUGACAGUGUCUUAAGUAGGGCAUGUUGAUAGAUGGAAAAGGACAGCAAACUCAAGGUGCUGAUUCAGGAAGAAGCAGAUUCCAAGAUGGAAGAGAAAAUGUCAAGAGAAAUAUGCCGAGAGAAGAUUCCAGGCAGAAUGUUGCCUGGAGAGGAGGAAACAUUGGCUAGAGCUUCUCUAUGCCUCAGAGACUUUGGACCAGCCUCUCUGGCUUCCUUCACUGAUAACUGACUUUCAACUUGGCCCUGAAAGAGUUUAAGUCCUAGCCCUGUCUCUUGCUGUGUGAGCACGGGCAAGUUUCUUAACUCCUCUAAUUCUCAAUGUUUCCAUCUAUAAAAUAAGAUGGUCAUAAGAGUGGUGGCUACUAGAAGAAAAUUAGGCCCGGCACGGUGGCUCACACCUGUAAUCCCAGCACUUUGGGAGGCCGAGGCGGGUGGAUCACCUGAGGUCGGGAGUUUGAGACCAGCCUGACCAACGUGGAGAAACUCCAUCUCUAUUAAAAAUACUCAAAAAUUAGACGGGCGUGGUGGUGCAUGCCUAUAAUCCCAGCUACUCAGGAGGCUGAGGCAGGAGAAUCGCUUGAACCUGGGAGGUGAGGUUGCGGUGAGGGGAGAGCGUGCCAUUGCACUCCAUCCUGGGCAACAAGAGCGAAACUCC
ensembl:lncRNA